rnacentral:rRNA from 1 species
AUUGAACGCUGGCGGCAGGCCUAACACAUGCAAGUCGAGCGGAGCGGCGGACGGGUGAGUAAUGCCUAGGAAUCUGCCUGGUAGUGGGGGAUAACGUCAGGAAACGGGCGCUAAUACCGCAUACUAUCAGAUGAGCCUAGGUCGGAGUGGCUAGUUGGUGGGUUAAAGGCCUACCAAGGCGACGAUCCGUAACUGGUCUGAGAGGAUGAUCAGGUAAACUGGAACUGAGACACGGUCCAGACUCCUACGGGAGGCAGCAGUGGGGAAGAUUGGACAAUGGGCGAAAGCCUGAUCCAGCCAUGCCGCGUGUGUGAAGAAGGUCUUCGGAUUGUAAAGCUCUUUAAGUUGGGAGGCGUUACCAACAGAAUAAGCACCGGCUAACGUCGUGCCAGCAGCCGCGGUAAUUC